CCUACGGGAGGCAGCAGUGAGGAAUAUUGGACAAUGGGCGCAAGCCUGAUCCAGCCAUGCCGCGUGCAGGAAGACUGCCCUAUGGGUUGUAAACUGCUUUUAUAUAGGAAGAAACCUUGGUACGUGUACCAAGCUGACGGUACUAUAAGAAUAAGGAUCGGCUAACUCCGUGCCAGCAGCCGCGGUAAUAC
rnacentral:rRNA from 1 species